GACGAACGCUGGCGGCGUGCUUAACACAUGCAAGUCGAACGGAAAGGCCCUGCUUUUGUGGUGUGCUCGAGUGGCGAACGGGUGAGUAACACGUGAGUAACCUGCCCUUGACUUUGGGAUAACUUCAGGAAACUGGGGCUAAUACCGGAUAGGAGCUCCUGCUGCAUGGUGGGGGUUGGAAAUUUUCGGCGGUUGGGGAUGGACUCGCGGCUUAUCAGCUUGUUGGUGGGGUAGUGGCUUACCCAGGCUUUGACGGGUAGCCGGCCUGAGAGGGUGACCGGCGACAAGGGGACUGAGGUAGGGCGCAGACGCGUACGGGAGGCAGCAGGGGGGAAUAUUGCACAAUGGGCGGAAGCCUGAUGCAGAAACGCCGCGUGCGGGAUGACGGCCUGCGGGGUGUAAACAGCUUUCGCCUGUGACGAAGCGUGAGUGACGGUAAUGGGUAAAGAAGCACCGGCUAACUACGUG
rnacentral:rRNA from 1 species